UCUCUGAUAGUAUAUCGGUUAGUACACGCGCCUGUCAAAUCCUUUGAUUGAUGAGACGCGCGAAAGCUGGGUUCGACUCCCAGUCAGAGAG